AUUGAACGCUGGCGGCAGGCCUAACACAUGCAAGUCGAGCGGAGCGGCGGACGGGUGCGUAAUGCUUAGGACUCUGCCUGGUCGCGGGGGAUAACGUUAGCUACCGGGCGCUAAUAUCGCUUCCUAUUAGCUGAGCCUAGGUCGGAUUAGCUAGAUGGUGGGGUAAAGGCCUACCAAGGCGACGAUCCGUAACUGGUCUGAGAGGAUGAUCAGCCAAACGGGAACUGAGACACGGUCCAGACUCCUACGGGAGGCAGCAGUGGGGAAUAUUGGACAAUGGGCGAAAGCCUGAUCCAGCCAUGCCGCGUGUGUGAAGAAGGUCUUCGGAUUGUAAAGCACUUUAAGUUGGGAGGCGUUACCAACAGAAUAAGCACCGGCUAACUUCGUGCCAGCAGCCGCGGUAAUUC
rnacentral:rRNA from 1 species